CCUACGGGAGGCAGCAGUGAGGAAUAUUGGUCAAUGGGCGUAAGCCUGAACCAGCCAAGUCGCGUGAGGGAUGAAGGUUCUAUGGAUCGUAAACCUCUUUUAUAAGGGAAUAAAGUGUGGGACGUGUCCUAUUUUGUAUGUACCUUAUGAAUAAGGAUCGGCUAACUCCGUGCCAGCAGCCGCGGUAAUACGGAGGAUCCGAGCGUUAUCCGGAUUUAUUGGGUUUAAAGGGUGCGUAGGCGGCCUUUUAAGUCCGCGGUGAAAGUUUGUGGCCAAACCAUAGAAUUGCCGUUGAAACUGGGGGUCUUGAGUAUGUUUGAGGUAGGCGGAAUGCGUGGUGUAGCGGUGAAAUGCUUAGAUAUCACGCAGAACCCCGAUUGCGAAGGCAGCCUGCCAAGCCAUGACUGACGCUGAUGCACGAAAGCGUGGGGAUCAAACAGGAUUAGAUACCCGGGUAGUC
rnacentral:rRNA from 1 species